rnacentral:rRNA from 1 species
GACGAACGCUGGCGGCGUGCCUAAUACAUGCAAGUUGAGCGCUGAAGGUUGGUACUUGUACCAACUGGAUGAGCAGCGAACGGGUGAGUAACGCGUGGGGAAUCUGCCUUUGAGCGGGGGACAACAUUUGGAAACGAAUGCUAAUACCGCAUAAAAACUUUAAACACAAGUUUUAAGUUUGAAAGAUGCAAUUGCCUCACUCAAAGAUGAUCCCGCGUUGUAUUAGCUAGUUGGUGAGGUAAAGGCUCACCAAGGCGAUGAUACAUAGCCGACCUGAGAGGGUGAUCGGCCACAUUGGGACUGAGACACGGCCCAAACUCCUACGGGAGGCAGCAGUAGGGAAUCUUCGGCAAGGGACGAAAGUCUGACCGAGCAACGCCGCGUGAGUGAAGAAGGUUUUCGGAUCGUAAAACUCUGUUGGUAGAGAAGAACGUUGGUGAGAGUGGAAAGCUCAUCAAGUGACGGUAACUACCCAGAAAGGGACGGCUAACUACGUG